GCUCACUUUUGGUGCACAUGUGCUAAAAUUGGAAUGAUACAGAGAUUAGCAUGACCCCUGUUGAUGGAUGAUAUGCAAAUUCAUUAAGUAUUCCAUGUUUUU
rnacentral:snRNA from 1 species